CAGUCGCCGCGGUAAUACGAAGGGUGCAAGCGUUAAUCGGAAUUACUGGGCGUAAAGGGUGCGUAGGCGGUGAGUUAAGUCUGUUGUGAAAUCCCCGGGCUCAACCUGGGAAUGGCAAUGGAUACUGGCUCGCUAGAGUGUGAUAGAGGAUGGUGGAAUUCCCGGUGUAGCGGUGAAAUGCGUAGAGAUCGGGAGGAACAUCAGUGGCGAAGGCGGCCAUCUGGAUCAACACUGACGCUGAAGCACGAAAGCGUGGGGAGCAAACAGGAUUAGAUACCCCGGUAGUCCCUGUCUCUUAUAU
rnacentral:rRNA from 1 species